UCUGCCUUGGAACCCCACAGACAGGAGGGCCUAAGGCACUGCCUUGGACCGGACCUUCAGGGGCUGACUUCCCCUUGUGACCGGUCUGCCAAUCGAGGGAAGGAGUGACAGGACACCCUUCAGAUCUCCAGGCAGUUGUCCACCUGGGACCCUGGAAUCCACUGAGGACGCGCCCCUAAAGACACUGUCUGCAGCCUUCCCUCCCCCUCUUAUUCCCUUCCCUCUCUCUCCUACACAUAGGUAGGGACAGCUCUACACCCAUGCUCAGCACUGAAGAAACUACAGAAGAUCUGGACCUCCUCCCUUUUUCCCUUAGACAUUUGGAGAGGGGAGGGGAUGGGAAGGCAGGGGGCACUGAACCAGGUGGGGCCUGAGAUUCUGGCCCUCUGGGAGGCUGUGUGGUUCCCCUAUGGAUGGCUGGGCUGGCCAGAUGGCAGGACUCACUAGAAGCAGUGGGGAGACAGCUAGCAAAAGGAAUACAUGACCCACUCGCUUCCAUUACUUCACUUUCUCCCCCACCUCUUGGUUUCCCCCUCCCUUGUCACAGAGUAUCCCUCAAUCGGGAGAUACCUUAUCCCACCCGCAGGAGCGCACUGGCUGUGCCCCCGUUCUGGCCUACAGCCCUGGGUCUCCCCUAGCUCCCUCACUGCCCGCUGCACCCCCUCACAAUAGUACCCCGAGUGACCUACUAUGCCAAGCAGGACCUCCUCUUCCUUAAGGAGGGGGGCCUCUGUGCAGCCUUGGGCGAGGAGUGCUGCUUCUAUGUUAACCACUCGGGGAUUAUUAGGGACUCCCUGAGCAAGCUACGAGAGGGUCUAGAAGCCCUGAUGGAAGGAGAGGGAAACUGCCAGCCCCAGGUACGCCCACCUUUUCAAAUUUUCUCCCUAGUCACGUCCCUCAUAGGACAGGCCUUCCCUCUGCCCCCUAAGAGAAAAAGAAGUUGGGAAUGAAGGAGCUCCAAGCAGGGAGCUGCUUGGUCAGUACAGCACAUAUCACUAUAGAACAUCUGACCAACAGACCCCUGUCAGGGAAUGUGCCGACGCCCAAAACUUAGAGUCCAGGAGAAACUUGUGGGCCACGUAUGGUGGCUAGUGAUAUGCUGUCAGGCAUUGGGUAUAAAAGACUCUGCACUCACAACUGCAGGCGGAACUCCUGGUCUAUACCAGAAUAAAGGACCCUCCUCUUGA